UACGUAGGUGGCAAGCGUUGUCCGGAUUUACUGGGCGUAAAGGGCGUGCAGGCGGUCUGUUAAGUGCAGGGUGAAAGCUCCCGGCUCAACUGGGAGAGGUCCUUGCAUACUGGCGGACUUGAGUGGGGUAGAGGAAAGUGGAAUUCCCGGUGUAGUGGUGAUAUGCGUAGAUAUCGGGAGGAACACCUGUGGCGAAGGCGGCUUUCUGGGCCGUACCUGACGCUGAGACGCGAAAGCGUGGGGAGCGAACAGG
rnacentral:rRNA from 1 species